rnacentral:lncRNA from 10 species
UCUCUUUUUUAUUUUUUUAACAGCUUUAUUGAGAUACAAUUAACAUACCAUACGAUUUACCCAUUUAAAUUGUACAAUUCAAAUUUAUGUAGUAUGUUCAUAGGGCUUUUUAACAUCACCACAAUCAAUUUCAGAACAUUUUUGUCACCAUAAAAAGAAACCACAUACCCAUUUCCCCUCAACCUCCCAGCAUUAGGCAACCACCAAUCAAUCUACUUUCUGUCUCUAUGGAUUUACCUAUUCUAAACAUUUCAUAUAAAUGGAAUAAUAAAUUAUGUGGUCUUUUGUGAUUGGAUUCUUUUCUUUUUUUUUCUAAAUUUAAUUUAAUUUUAAGCUCUGGGAUACAUGUGCAGGACGUGCAGGUUUGUUACACAGGUAAAUGUGUGCCAUGGUGGUUUGCACCACCUAUCAACCCAUCACCAAGAUAUGAAGCCCUGCAUGCAUUAGCUAUUUAUCCUGAUCCUCUCUCUUCCCCUGCCCCCAACAACAGUCCCCAGUGUGUUGUUCCCCUCCCUAUGUCCAUGUGUUCUCGUUGUUCAGCUCCCACUUACAAGUGAGAACAUAUGGUACUUGAUUUUCUGUUCCUGCAUUAGUUUGCUAAGGAUAAUGGCUUCGAGCUCCAUCCAUGCCCCUGCAAAGGACAUGAUCUAGUUUCUUUUUAUGGCUGUAUAGUAUUCCAUGGUGUAUAUGUACCACAUUUUCUUUAUCCAGUCUAUCACUGAUGUGCAUUUGGGUUGAUUGAAUGUUUUUGCUAUUGUGAAUAGUGCUGCAAUGAAUACACACAUGCAUGUAUCUUUAUCAUAGAAUGAUUUCUAUUCUUUUGGGUAUAUAUUGGGUUUUUCUUGACAGCAAAGAGCCUGAAUUGAUACAAAGGUGUUUAUGUUAAUCUUUUAAGUUUGCUUGUUUAUUACAUAUGUAUUGCAUGGAGGGCCAGCACUUUCUAAGUGCAUAAUAAAUAUUAACUCUUUAAUCCUCACAAUAAUCCAGUGAGCUAUUUACUACUAGUAUCUCCUUUUUACAGAUGAAACAGUACAGGGGAAGGAUGAGUAGGUUGCCCAAGGACACACCGUCAGCAAGUGGAGAAGUGCAGGAACUGGGCUUCCACUUACAGAGGCUGUGCUACUGAAUGCUAGUCUGUGCUGCCCCUCAGUACAAAUUACUAUGCUUACCAGACCAAAAAUAAUCAAAGAGCCAACUGUCAUCCAGUUUUGAGGAUAAAUGAAAGGUAAGGCACAGAUGAUGUAGAGCUGUAUUUACUGAUGUGACAAUGUCCAUCUUAUAUUGUUAAGUGAAAAACAUUGAUUAGCACAUUUUUAUUUAUGAAGAUGGUAUACCCACUGCCUCCCCACUCCCUGCCUCCCAAACACACAACCACAUUACAAAGCCUAGAAUCACUUUCAUCAGAAUGUCAACCACGGUGAUUCUCCUCACUUGGAGAGGACCACCAAGCUCUGGGUUUCUUAGUGGCCUUGACUUUGGCAUAAGAGACCAUCCUGAGCUUAGAAU